UGACGUGCAAAUCGAUCGUCAAACUUGGGGUAUAGGGGCGAAAGACUAAUCGAACCAUCUAGUAGCUGUUCCUCCCGAAAUUUCCCUUAGGAUAGCACCAACCGACGUGAAGUAGUUGCAUCUGGUAAAGCGAAUGAUUAAGAAUUGGGGGCGCAAUGCCCUUCGUCUGUUCUCAAACUUUUGAAUGGGUGCGACGUGUUAUGUUGCUUUAUUUGAACUAACACUUUGAAUACAUGGUUGUUAGCGGGCUUGUUCUGGUAAGCAGGACUGGCGAUGCGGGAUGAACCGAUCAUAUUGUUAAAGCGCCCCAAUUCUCCGCUCAUAAGAUCCCACAAAAUGCGCAGGCAAAUUGAGACAGUUGGGCCGUGGCCAUGGAAGUCGGCAACAGCUAAGGAUCGUGUAACAACCCACCAACAUAAUUUGCCUACCAUGAAAAAGGAUGGCGCUUAAGCGGAGAGCUUAUACAAUAUUUUCUUUUUUUUUACAAUUCUCACAUAGAAAAAAAGAAAGUAGGGAGGC
rnacentral:rRNA from 1 species